rnacentral:tRNA from 1 species
AUUUAUAUAAUAUAAAUCAGUAUAAUUGAUUUCCAAUCAAAAAGUCUAAAUUUUAGUAUAAAUA